AUUGAACGCUGGCGGCAUGCCUUACACAUGCAAGUCGAACGGUAACAGGUCUUCGGAUGCUGACGAGUGGCGAACGGGUGAGUAAUACAUCGGAACGUGCCCAGUCGUGGGGGAUAACGAAGCGAAAGCUUUGCUAAUACCGCAUACGAUCUACGGAUGAAAGCGGGGGAUCGCAGGACCUCGCGCGAUUGGAGCGGCCGAUGGCAGAUUAGGUAGUUGGUGGGGUAAAGGCUUACCAAGCCUAUGAUCUGUAGCUGGUCUGAGAGGACGACCAGCCACACUGGGACUGAGACACGGCCCAGACUCCUACGGGAGGCAGCAGUGGGGAAUUUUGGACAAUGGGCGCAAGCCUGAUCCAGCAAUGCCGCGUGCAGGAUGAAGGCCUUCGGGUUGUAAACUGCUUUUGUACGGAACGAAAAGCUCUGGGUUAAUACCCUGGGGUCAUGACGGUACCGUAAGAAUAAGCACCGGCUAACUACGUGCCAGCCGCCGCCGUAA
rnacentral:rRNA from 1 species